CAGUCGCCGCGGGAAUACGUAGGGUGCAAGCGUUAAUCGGAAUUACUGGGCGUAAAGCGUGCGCAGGCGGUUUGUUAAGACAGAUGUGAAAUCCCCGGGCUCAACCUGGGAACUGCAUUUGUGACUGGCAAGCUAGAGUAUGGCAGAGGGGGGUGGAAUUCCGCGUGUAGCAGUGAAAUGCGUAGAUAUGCGGAGGAACACCGAUGGCGAAGGCAGCCCCCUGGGCCAAUACUGACGCUCAUGCACGAAAGCGUGGGGAGCAAACAGGAUUAGAUACCCCUGUAGUCCCUGUCUCUUAUAC
rnacentral:rRNA from 1 species